rnacentral:rRNA from 1 species
CACCUCCCAUCCGUGUCUAUCUGUACCCUGUUGCUUCGGCGUGGCUACGGCCCGCCGAAGACUAACAUUUGAACACUGUCUGAAGUUUGCAGUCUGAGUUUUUAGUUAAACAAUAAUUAAAACUUUCAACAACGGAUCUCUUGGUUCCGGCAUCGAUGAAGAACGCAGCGAAAUGCGAUAAUUAAUGUGAAUUGCAGAAUUCAGUGAAUCAUCGAGUCUUUGAACGCACAUUGCGCCCCCUGGUAUUCCGGGGGGCAUGCCUGUCCGAGCGUCAUUGCUGCCCUCAAGCACGGCUUGUGUGUUGGGCUUCCGUCCCUGGUAACGGGGACGGGCCCAAAAGGCAGUGGCGGCACCAUGUCUGGUCCUCGAGCGUAUGGGGCUUUGUCACCCGCUCCCGUAGGUCCAGCUGGCAGCUAGCCUCGCAACCAAUCUUUUUAACCAGGUUGACCUCGGAUCAGGUAGGGAUACCCGCUGAACUUAAGCAUAUCAAUAAGCGGAGGAA